rnacentral:rRNA from 1 species
AACGAACGCUGGCGGCAUGCCUAACACAUGCAAGUCGAACGAGACCUUCGGGUUUAGUGGCGCACGGGUGCGUAACGCGUGGGAACCUGCCCUUAGGUUCGGAAUAACUCCCCGAAUGGGGUGCUAAUACCGGAUAAUGUCUUCGGACCAAAGAUUUAUCGCCUUUGGAUGGGCCCGCGUUGGAUUAGCUUGUUGGUAGGGUAAAAGCCUACCAAGGCGACGAUCCAUAGCUGGUCUGAGAGGAUGAUCAGCCACACUGGGACUGAGACACGGCCCAGACUACUACGGGAGGCAGCAGUGGGGAAUAUUGGACAAUGGGCGGAAGCAUGAUCCAGCAAUGCCGCGUGAGUGAUGAAGGCCUUAGGGUUGUAAAGCUCUUUUACCCGGGAUGAUAAUGACGGUACCGGGAGAAUAAGCACCGGCUAACUCCGUG